AGUUGAGCGAAGCUUUUCAGUAGUUUACUACAGAAAAUGACUGAGCGGCGAACGGGUGAGUAACGCGUGAGCAAUCUACCUUAGUUACUGGGAUAGCCCGAGGAAACUCGGAUUAAUACCGGAUAUUCUUAUUUUUUCACAUGAAGUUUUAAGGAAAGGUCAGCCGAACUAAGAUGAGCUCGCGUUCUAUCAGCUAGUUGGUGGGGUAAAAGCCUACCAAGGCUACGACGGAUAGCUGGUCUGAGAGGACGAUCAGCCACACUGGGACUGAGACACGGCCCAGACUCCUACGGGAGGCUGCAGCAGGGAAUAUUGCGCAAUGAGCGAAAGCUUGACGCAGCGACACCGCGUGUGGGAUGACGGUUCUAGGAUUGUAAACCACUUUCAGGAGGGAAGAAAAUGACGGUACCUCCACAAGAAGACCCGGCCAACUACGUGCCAGCAGCCGCGGUAAUACGUAGGGGUCAAGCGUUGUCCGGAUUUAUUGGGCGUAAAGAGCUCGUAGGCGGUUCAACAAGUCGGUCGUAAAAGUUUAGGGCUCAACCCUAAAAUGUCGAUCGAUACUGUUGUGACUAGGAUACGGUAGAGGUGAAUGGAAUUCCGAGUGUAGCGGUGAAAUGCGUAGAUAUUCGGAGGAACACCAAUUGCGAAGGCAGUUCACUGGACCGUGAUCGACGCUGAGGAGCGAAAGCUAGGGGAGCAAACAGGAUUAGAUACCCUGGUAGUCCUAGCUGUAAACGAUGGAUACUAGAUGUAGGAACUGGAUUGACGGUUUCUGUAUCGUAGCUAGCGCGU
rnacentral:rRNA from 1 species